GGGUGAUUAGCUCAGCGGUAGAGCACUGCAUUCACACUGCAGGGGUCACAUGUUCGAUCCAUGUAUUACCCACCA
rnacentral:tRNA from 3 species